AUUGAUGUGGCAGAUUAUUGCACUAGAUUUAAGCUCUAAACAUAGACCUAUUAUCUCAUCAAUA
rnacentral:tRNA from 1 species